UGCGGUGUGGUAUAAUGGAUAACACAACAGUCCGGUCUACUGAAGAUGCUGGUUCGCUCCCAGUCGCUGAAU
rnacentral:tRNA from 1 species